CCUACGGGGGACUGCAGUGAGGAGUAUUGGUCAAUGGACGAGAGUCUGAACCAGCCAAGUAGCGUGAAGGAUGACUGCCCUAUGGGUUGUAAACUUCUUUUAUAUGGGAAUAAAAUGUUCCACGUGUGGGAUUUUGUAUGUACCAUAUGAAUAAGGAUCGGCUAACUCCGUGCCAGCAGCCGCGGUAAUACGGAGGAUCCGAGCGUUAUCCGGAUUUAUUGGGUUUAAAGGGAGCGUAGGUGGAUUGUUAAGUCAGUUGUGAAAGUUUGCGGCUCAACCGUAAAAUUGCAGUUGAAACUGGCAGUCUUGAGUACAGUAGAGGUGGGCGGAAUUCGUGGUGUAGCGGUGAAAUGCUUAGAUAUCACGAAGAACUCCGAUUGCGAAGGCAGUUCACUGGACUGCAACUGACACUGAGGCUCGAAAGUGUGGGUAUCAAACAGGAUUAGAUACCCGAGUAGUC
rnacentral:rRNA from 1 species